rnacentral:rRNA from 1 species
GGGACGAACGCUGGCGGCGUGCUUAACACAUGCAAGUCGAGCGGUAAGGCCCUUUCGGGGGUACACGAGCGGCGAACGGGUGAGUAACACGUGAGCAAUCUGCCCUUCACUUCGGGAUAAGCCUCGGAAACGGGGUCUAAUACCGGAUAUGACCGCGCUACGCAUGUGGUGUGGUGGAAAGUUCUGGCGGUGGAGGAUGAGCUCGCGGCCUAUCAGCUUGUUGGUGGGGUAAUGGCCUACCAAGGCGACGACGGGUAGCCGACCUGAGAGGGUGACGGCCACACUGGGACUGAGACACGGCCCAGACUCCUACGGGAGGCAGCAGUGGGGAAUAUUGCACAAUGGGCGAAAGCCUGAUGCAGCGACGCCGCGUGAGGGAUGAAGGCCUGGGUUGUAAACCUCUUCAGCAGGACGAAGCGCAAGUGACGGUACCUGCAGAAGAAGCAACCGGCUAACUACGUGCCAGCAGCCGC